GGUGAGAUGACUGAAUUUGUAGGUGGUAGACUGUAAAUCUACUUAUGGAAAUGUUUCCUCUCACCA
rnacentral:tRNA from 1 species